UACGUAGGGUGCAAGCGUUGUCCGGAAUUAUUUGGGCGUAAAGAGCUCGUAGGCGGUUUGUCGCGUCUGCUGUGAAAACUCGGGGCUUAACUCCGGGCCUGCAGUGGGUACGGGCAGACUAGAGUGCGGUAGGGGAGACUGGAAUUCCUGGUGUAGCGGUGAAAUGCGCAGAUAUCAGGAGGAACACCGGUGGCGAAGGCGGGUCUCUGGGCCGUAACUGACGCUGAGGAGCGAAAGCGUGGGGAGCGAACAGG
rnacentral:rRNA from 1 species